rnacentral:rRNA from 1 species
AUUGAACGCUGGCGGCAGGCCUAACACAUGCAAGUCGAACGGUAACAGGAAACAGCUUGCUGUUUCGCUGACGAGUGGCGGACGGGUGAGUAAUGUCUGGGAAACUGCCUGAUGGAGGGGGAUAACUACUGGAAACGGUAGCUAAUACCGCAUAACGUCGCAAGACCAAAGAGGGGGACCUUCGGGCCUCUUGCCAUCGGAUGCGCCCAGAUGGGAUUAGCUAGUAGGUGGGGUAACGGCUCACCUAGGCGACGAUCCCUAGCGGGUCUGAGAGGAUGAGCAGCCACACUGGAACUGAGACACGGUCCAGACGCCUACGGGAGGCAGCAGUGGGGAAUAUUGCACAAUGGGCGCAAGCCUGAUGCAGCCAUGCCGCGUGUAUGAAGAGGGCCUUCGGGUUGUAAAGUACUUUCAGCGGGGAGGAAGGGAGUAAAGUUAAUACCUUUGCUCAUUGACGUUACCCGCAGAAGAAGCACCGGCUAACUCCGUGCCAGCAGCCGCCGUAA